rnacentral:rRNA from 1 species
ACGCUCGACACCUACGAGAGGCAGCAGUGGGGAAUAUUGCACAAUGGGGGAAACCCUGAUGCAGCGACGCCGCGUGAGCGAAGAAGUAUUUCGGUAUGUAAAGCUCUAUCAGCAGGGAAGAAACUGACGGUACCUGACUAAGAAGCACCGGCUAAAUACGUGUCAGCAGCCGCGGUAAUCUGAGCGGGCUGGCAAGGC